UUAAACAUGAAUAUCUAACCAAUCUUUAGCACCAUUUUAGAUUCACUGAUUGCAGAUAGCACUAAAGAUGCUAAAGCAGAUCAACCUAUCAACUACACACUUGCUUUGAACCGUAUGAAGUAACCAAAGCUGAUUUUCAACAAUAAACCUGACAUAACCGCUUGUCUUGGGGCUGGGUAUACAUGGGAUCGGAUUCUUCAUAUAGGUCUGGAAGGUAACGUCUGGUUUAUAUUAUUUAUCACAUUUUCUCUCUCUAGAUUUCGACCCUAGAUUAGUUAUAGAGUAUAUAAAAAAAAAUAAUAAUAUAAAAAUAAUAGCAAAAAAUAAAUAAAUAAAUAAAUAAAUAAAAAAUAAGUAAGAUCUAUUGUUUAAUUAGGAUGAGUCUGAACAUGACUUGGUGGCUAAAACCAUUAAGGCUUGAUUCAUAAAGACUCAAAUAAAAGAGUUCGAAACGGAACUUAGAGGCGGCAAUCUUCAAGGCUCGCUUUCGCAAAGAACUCUUGGAUAUAGGUCAAAAAGAAGUGAACAGAACUUGGUGGCAACCACCAUUAAGUUUUGAUUCAUGGAAGCCUGUCCAAUCUUGGUCACUGAUCCUGCAAUGGACGCAGACUUCGACUCAAGAGAGAAAUUUAGAGAGAGAGAAACUAGGAACUAAUUUUUACCUGCAGUUCCAGAUACCU
rnacentral:lncRNA from 1 species